UUAUUUUUAUAAAUCAAAUUAUAUAAUCUAUCUUCAUAAUUCAGAUUAUCAUAAUUUAUGGUUUCAAACAGUGCCUUAGACUUUCGCUACUUUAGCUAAGGAUCCCAAUGCAGCACCAUACAAUGUUGAUUUCAGGGACAUAUGUCACCAUAGACCAAACGGCCGCGUUUCAGUAGCACAUCUUUAUAUCUAACUAUUAUACUUGUCGAUUAUAAAUUUUGUUAUAGAUGACAUGACACAUCAUAUAGUUAUCAGCUGGUUAUAUUAUUAACAUGCUCUUAAGAAUCUUUGCCUUCUCUUGACGUAGGACUGGUGGGUUAGCUAGGACCUACAAGGAUAAUGACAUGUCUGGGGACUCAUAGCCUAUGAACAUACUUCCCGGUGCCACUCAUUCUGAACAAUUAAAGAAAAAGCAAAUCUCAGACUCCUCUAUCUAAGACUUUCAUAUGUUCCUACCAAGAGAGGAUUGAGAUUGUGUCUCGCACGACUAAAGAAAGAUAAGGACGUGUACAUAUAUAUUUAUAGAUGCAGAAUAAGAAGGAAGAGUAACAAGAGGUGGAAACACUUGAGAGCCUAGGUGCACGAGGUACUGCUCCGUGAAAAUACUGACACAUGCAAGCCAGCGGCCAAAAUCACUGUUCUGACCUUUUUUUGAGAAGAUGAGCACGAACCCGGUUUGAAAAGAUUUCACGAUCUAAUUCUUUUUAAAACACUACAAGCCGUGGUGUUGCCGCCCCAGUAAGAAACGCCAGUGCAUUGUGGAGUUGCUGACCACCACCAAUACGCCAGUCUUCUAUGGCGUUUUUCCUUCCUUGAAACGCCACCACCUCUGGCGUUUCUGAGCAACACUACAACGCCAAACCCUAUGGUGUUUCUGCCUGCCUAUUUAUUAGGGGUUCACCCUCCAUUCACCACUCACUCUCUUCUUCCACCACUCUCACUCCCUUCUUCCCCGAGCUGCAGCCCCUUUUUCUCCAUUUCUCCCCCACUUCUCCCCUCUCAAAUCCUUUCAAAAGGAUUGGUUUGGUCCGUGGAUCCGGUAUCAUUUGCAUUGCUUGAGGUAAUCCACUAAUGGGGACGGGGCCUUUAGCCCCGGCCCGUAAGGGGCUUUAGUUCCGGUUCACCAACCGGGACUAAAGGCCUAACCUUUAGUCCCGGCCCUGUUACAAGCCGGGACUAAAGAUACUCCACGUGGGCGCCUCGUAGCGCCCCAGGGGCAGGCCCUUUAGUCCCGGCUCGUUACACGGACCGGGACUAAAGAGUUUCAGAUUUUGCUUAUUUUUGGUUUUUUUUGAAUGAAAUUAUUUUUGGGUUUUAGGGUUUUAGGGUUUAGGUGUUCGGGAGAUUAACGUGAUGCCUCGUUUGGUGUUCGGGAA
rnacentral:lncRNA from 1 species